CUAGUAGCUCAUUAGCCACAGGACUGCCAGGUAACUAGCUAGUAGCUCAUUAGCCACAGGACUGCCAGGUAACUAGCUAGUAGCUCAUUAGCCACAGGACUGCCAGGUAACUAGCUAGUAGCUCAUUAGCCACAGGACUGCCAGGUAACUAGCUAGUAGCUCAUUAGCCACAGGACUGCCAGGUAACUAGCUAGUAGCUCAUUAGCCACAGGACUGCCAGGUAACUAGCUAGUAGCUCAUUAGCCACAGGACUGCCAGGUAACUAGCUAGUAGCUCAUUAGCCACAGGACUGCCAGGUAACUAGCUAGUAGCUCAUUAGCCACAGGACUGCCAGGUAACUAGCUAGUAGCUCAUUAGCCACAGGACUGCCAGGUAACU